AGGCCAGCACCCCCACCCCCGACUUUAGGCACGGGUGUUGCCGCAGUUUAUUUAUGUCUUACAGCCCCCUGUGGAACAGGUCAAAGCUAGCAUUUCCAGAGAACCCAUCUGGAUUCCUCGUUUCUUCCCUGCCCCUCCAUUGUCCUCCUCCCUUCUCUUUCUCACAGAUUUCUCUUGAGAGCUCUUGCCCAGUGAAUCAUUUGUAUCUGAAUCCCUGUCUCCGGUUCUGCUUCUAGAGAGCCCAACCCAAGACAGUGGUGUUCCUUGGUGGCAUGUAAGACCAGAGUCGAUGUCUUUAUUUGCAAGGGGGUUGCAAAGUAAAAUCACAGCCACAGAAUUGUGAGGAAAUCUACCAUGGAUGUUUUUCAUGUCCUGGUGGCCAAAUUCCCUGUCUCAUGUGAAGUAAAGCAAUUCUGAUUCACACAGUUCUAACUUUGGCCUCCAGUAUCAGCGGCCUGACUCGUGGGCUGUUUCCUGAUUUUCUAAGUGCUAAAGGCCUUGAGGUUAUUAUUUUCUUCCAUAAACACUACGUGCCUGGCACUGAGUUAGAUGAAGGAGUUUCAGUGUGAAUAAGAUCGGCAGUCUGGAGGCUGAGUCCCGAUGAUCAAACCAUCAGUGGUCGUUUGCUCGAUCUCUGCUUGGGACAGUGUGGCUCUGAGUCAAGGCUCUGGGGCCAGAAAGCCUCGGUUCUAAAUCAAGGUUCAGGCUCUUCCCGGCAGUGUGGCUCUCCACGUGUGUUUGAACUUCAUGAACCUCGUUUUUUCUCCCCCUGGAAAACACACCUGCUUUGUCGGGCUGAUCUGAAGACUCAACCACUCAGUCUGGCAGGUGAUAAGAGCUGAGUAGGCGCUGGCAAUUAGUGUUGGCACAAGAGUCUUUGUCCCUGAAGAACUGUGCUUCGUCUGUUAGGGUGGCCACCGUUGCGGAUUCCUCACAAAUUGAGAAAUCGCCAUUGGACCAGGGGACAGAACAUCUGGGAGCUUUUUGAGAUAGAGUCAAUGUUUCAGACUUUGUCCUCCGGCAUUCUAGAGGCAUCUCUCCUGGGGCACUCAUCACCAGACUGGGUCACGGAGCAUCCUUCCCUAGCUUCCUGUGAACUUCAUGGACCACCCAGAGGGACUCAUAUAUAGAUAGUUACGACUCCAAGCGCAAAAAGACUCUUCCCACCAAAUGCACUUUAAAACAUCAACUCAUUGGUCAACGAGCCUGAGGACACUGACUGACCUUAGGCCAGAGAGGUGGCAGCCCGUAAGAGUCUGAAGAUUGUGGGUGUGGUUCCAGAAGGUCAUCAGCAUGUAGUCCUGAAACAGGCAAGGGCUGAGAAGUCUCUGUUCUAUGUCAUUAGAGCAUGAAGCCAGAUUCAGAUAACGCUGGCGUGAGCCAGAAAGAACAGGGGCAAACACUCUCGAGUCAGUGCAGCCCUUCCAGAAGAAGACUGUUCUCUGAGCCCUCAGUGUAGGGCGAGGAACCAGUUCCUGAGUGAGAGCCAGCGACUGUAGAACCUGUCACAUGGCUCAUGUCCUCCGAUGUCACCUCGCAUGUUAAAUUCUAUGCUUUUCCUCCAAAGGGAGGGGUCAGAUGCUCUGAAUAAAUCCUGCAUCAGUUAAGUCUCAAAUGAUAACCACACACCCUCAGUGGCUUUCUGAAACAGACAGUCCUUCCCUGACAGUUGAAAUCAAGCAUUUAUACUCACAGGAGGCAACACCGUGUAAGCUGCCCUCAGAUAGUAAGGACAUUUAUUCUGGCUCUGUAUUUCAUUUGGCACAUUUCCCUAAUGCCCUAAUGCACCUAGCUGUGCAUUCUCCUAGGUGGUCUUUCGAACACACACGGUCCUGGACAAAUCUACCGGAUGAGGCCCAAGCAUUAUUGUUAAUAUUUUUAAAAACUACAAACAGCAGCACAAACCCUUCCCAGAAAAAAAGGGGGGGGAUGAUAUUCAUAUGGCUUGUGCACAAGCCACUAUAUAUCAUUAGUAUUUGUGCCAUUUCUAAUAACAGUGACUUCCUGAUACUUUGACAUUUGCCGGGUAACCAUCUCAAAGUUUCCUCCCCCAGAUGGUUGAACAGGAUCUCAAAAUCCAGGUGUUCUAAAGGGUGAACUGCAGAUUUUUGGAUCAUGAUUCCCAAUAAGGUAUUAAUCUUACGCGGUAAUUCAGGAUACCUAUUUUUAUCGAAAGUUGUUGCAGGAAGUGUUAGGAAGCAGUACUUUUCGCAUUUGAUAGUUGCUUAUUUUAUUCAUUUCUCUUUUGCCCUCCAUUCCAUUCCGUUCCACUUUAUUCAUUCCAAAAGGGUUUUUUUUUUUUGAAAAAUCACUAACUUUAGGGGGUGACUUGUAAUUUUGAAGUCAUUGGUCUUUUUCUUCUCCCAGUAUGGUCUUCGCUUCUAUACACAUGUUAAGCUGUACUAAGUGAAGGAAUAAGGGAGAGCAAGACGCAAAUAGAAACUCAAGCCUGGCCAAUAAUACCCGGUCUGGACUUACAAAUGUGUUGGUGAGCUGAACGCUUCCUUCUAACACUCCAGUAGAUUUUAGAUUUCCCUUUGGGCUGUAAUGACCAGACAGUAAUCAACUCUAUGGUAAAUGUGAAUGGUCAUGAUCUCCCUAGCUGGGCAGGAGAAUACAUCUGGCUACUCUUUGAGGAUAUAAUAUUUAAAAUGUAGGAUUAUCAUUCUGAUUUAUGGGCACCGGUUGAGGAUGAUGGGGUAUGGGAGCCUACACAGGGAGAUGACGGAUUGGCUUAUCUGCUCAAGGACAUGGUAAAAGCGAUCCUCUUAAUGCUUUGAUUCAGGCUGUUAUGUGGGUCCCUUGUGUCUGUGUGCCUCCGAUGUGUUUUGCAGAAUGUUCUCACAUCAGU